AGUGGGGGAUAACCUGGGGAAACCCAGGCUAAUACCGCAUACGUCCUACGGGAGAAAGGGGGCUCCGGCUCCCGCUAUGGGAUGAGCCUAUGUCGGAUUAGCUAGUUGGUGAGGUAACGGCUCACCAAGGCGACGAUCCGUAGCUGGUCUGAGAGGAUGAUCAGCCACAUCGGGACUGAGACACGGCCCGAACUCCUACGGGAGGCAGCAGUGGGGAAUAUUGGACAAUGGGGGAAACCCUGAUCCAGCCAUGCCGCGUGUGUGAAGAAGGCCCUCGGGUUGUAAAGCACUUUCAGCGAGGAAGAACGCCUAGCGGUUAAUACCCGCUAGGAAAGACAUCACUCGCAGAAGAAGCACCGGCUAACUCCGUGCCAGCAGCCGCGGUAAUACGGAGGGUGCAAGCGUUAAUCGGAAUUACUGGGCGUAAAGCGCGCGUAGGUGGCUUGAUAAGCCGGUUGUGAAAGCCCCGGGCUCAACCUGGGAACGGCAUCCGGAACUGUCAAGCUAGAGUGCAGGAGAGGAAGGUAGAAUUCCCGGUGUAGCGGUGAAAUGCGUAGAGAUCGGGAGGAAUACCAGUGGCGAAGGCGGCCUUCUGGACUGACACUGACACUGAGGUGCGAAAGCGUGGG
rnacentral:rRNA from 1 species